rnacentral:rRNA from 1 species
UACGGGGGGGGCAAGCGUUGUUCGGAUUUACUGGGCGUAAAGGGCGCGUAGGCGGCAAUUCAAGUCAGCUGUGAAAUCUCUGGGCUUAACCCAGAACGGCCAGCUGAUACUGCUUUGCUAGAGUGCAGAAGGGGCAAUCGGAAUUCUUGGUGUAGCGGUGAAAUGCGUAGAUAUCAAGAGGAACACCUGAGGUGAAGACGGGUUGCUGGGCUGACACUGACGCUGAGGCGCGAAAGCCAGGGGAGCAAACGGG